ACGAACGCUGGCGGCGUGCUUAACACAUGCAAGUCGAACGGAAAGGCCCUGCUUUUGUGGGGUGCUCGAGUGGCGAACGGGUGAGUAACACGUGAGUAACCUGCCCUUGACUUUGGGAUAACUUCAGGAAACUGGGGCUAAUACCGGAUAGGAGCUCCUGCUGCAUGGUGGGGGUUGGAAAGUUUCGGCGGUUGGGGAUGGACUCGCGGCUUAUCAGCUUGUUGGUGGGGUAGUGGCCUACCAAGGCUUUGACGGGUAGCCGGCCUGAGAGGGUGACCGGCCACAUUGGGACUGAGAUACGGCCCAGACUCCUACGGGAGGCAGCAGUGGGGAAUAUUGCACAAUGGGCGGAAGCCUGAUGCAGCAACGCCGCGUGCGGGAUGACGGCCUUCGGGUUGUAAACCGCUUUCGCCUGUGACGAAGCGUGAGUGACGGUAAUGGGUAAAGAAGCACCGGCUAACUACGUG
rnacentral:rRNA from 1 species